GUGUUCGUAGAAAGAAGAGGUGGUUGCAUUUCCCCUGACAGGCAUGGGAAUGGCUUUUGGGCCUUCCUAUCCUCUGUUAUCAAACAAAUUCCAGGACUUCAGUUUUCU
rnacentral:ncRNA from 1 species